CCUACGGGUGGCUGCAGUGAGGAAUAUUGGUCAAUGGGCGUAAGCCUGAACCAGCCAAGUCGCGUGAGGGAAGACUGCCCUAUGGGUUGUAAACCUCUUUUAUCCGGGGGUAAAGGUGUCCCCGUGUGCAUGUUUGCAGUUACCGCAUGAAUAAGGACCGGCUAAUUCCGGGCCAGCGACCGCGGUAAUACGGGAGGUCCGGGCGUUAUCCGGAUUUAUUGGGGUUAAAGGGAGCGUAGGCCGGUCUUUAAGCGUGCCGUGAAAAUUUGUGGCUCAACCAGGAGGGUGCGGUGGACACUGGAGACCUUGAGUGCGCGGAAGGUAGGCGGAAUGCGUGGUGUAGCGGUGAAAUGCUUAGAUAUCACGAAGAACCCCGAUUGCGAAGGCAGCCUGCCGAAGCGUUACUGACGCUGAAGCUCGAAAGCGUGGGUAUCGAACAGGAUUAGAUACCCCAGUAGUC
rnacentral:rRNA from 1 species